rnacentral:lncRNA from 1 species
CCCUGGAUAUUUUAAGGGGAGGUGAGGGAGUGGGUGAGGCCGGUGGGGAGGAGGGUUGGGGGGCUCUCAAAGGGGCUGAGGCAGGAGACGCCCAGGUCCCGGAGGGCCAAGGACGGGCUGAAAGUCCAGACUCCAGAAUCAGUGAGGUGGCAGAGCUCGAGCAGGACCGAGCCUGGGUUCCUGCCCGGGGACAGGGCUGGGGAGCUGGGCCGCAGGGGAGGGGUGGGGCCGGGACCUGCACCCGAGCUGGAGCCUGGAGGCCGGGCCGGACCCUGGAAGAGGUCUGUGGCCCUCGACUCCUGGGCCUGAGAGGAGCACGCUGGAGCCAGAACCCCCUGGAUCUGCACGGUGGGCUGGUGCCCGACCUGCCCGGGACGCUGGAGCCCUGGUGCCCUUGCAGCAUGUGUGUCCCCUGGGAUGCGAUUGUCUGCUCUCUGCCCAGCUGUCCCAGCGGACAUGAGUGGGGGCCAGGGGCAGCCUCAACAUGACCCAGCUCAAGGCGAGGUACACAGGCAGCCUUGGAGGAUGCACAUGAGCCAUGACCUCACCACUCCCACGGUCUCCAGUAUUCACAGCCACCCGAUACCUGGUCCUGGAUGUGCCACAGGCAGCUCUCACUGGCCGGGUCCAAAAGAGAAAGAACCCUUGGCUCCUCCACCCAGACGUCCUGUUUCCCCCUAUUGGUGGGACGCAGAACCCCACACCCAACUCUCAAGCCCAACUCGGCCUCCUGUCUUCUCCCUACCCUGGCACCUCGCUGCCCCCGAUCCUUCCAGCUUGACACCACUGGAACUCUAACCUCAUGGUUUCCAGGCCUCUUGCUCCUGCUCCAACUUUUGACUCCUGAAAUCUAUCCCCCGCACAGCAGCAUGAGUCUGGUAUUGUUUUGUUGAAAUAAGAAUACGAUCCUGCCACGGCUGUGCUGAGAACCAGCCAUGGG